AUUACUUGGUAAAAUGACAGCCAUCUGUGACAAACUGCUAAAACUAAGGUUUUUCUGGAAGUUUCGAACUAGCUCGAGGGAAAGACAUCUUUCCAUGAAGCGUGAAGCUAAAAUGUAAACUUUGAGGUUGUUUAUCUUCAUGUACUGGGCAGCAAGAAGGCCUUCUGACAAAGUACAGAGGAUCAUUGAGGGAAGAGGUCACAUUUUGCAAAACUGAGGCCUUGACCAGCAUGAGCAACUGAAGGUGUAGUUUUACCAAGAUGUAAAUGCAUAUUGCCGGUCAUCAAGAAGAAGGAGAAAACUGACAACCCAAGAUGCAGGACAGUAUUUAUACUAAUUACCAUGAAACUCUGAGAAAAAGUGCCUUGAGACAACCAAAAAUCUCUAAGAACUGUACCUGACAUGAGAUUCCAAUACAC
rnacentral:lncRNA from 1 species